rnacentral:rRNA from 1 species
UUGCAUCGAUGAAGAACGCAGCGAAAUGCGAUAAGUAAUGUGAAUUGCAGAAUUCAGUGAAUCAUCGAAUCUUUGAACGCACCUUGCACCCUUUGGUAUUCCGAAGGGUAUGCUCGUUUGAGUGUCAUUG